CGGGUAGCGGAACACGUACGCAACCUUCCUUUAACUGGAGAAUAGCCCCUCGAAAGAGGGAUUAAUACUCCGUAACAUCCCGAUGUGGCAUCACAAUGGGAUUAUAGCUCCGGCGGUUAAAGAUGGGCGUGCGCCUGAUUAGAUAGUUGGCGGGGUAACGGCCCACCAAGUCUGCGAUCAGUAACUGGUGUGAGAGCACGACCAGUCACACGGGCACUGAGACACGGGCCCG
rnacentral:rRNA from 1 species